rnacentral:rRNA from 1 species
UACGUAGGGGGCAAGCGUUGUCCGGAUUUAUUGGGCGUAAAGAGCGUGUAGGCGGCCAGACAGGUCCGUUGUGAAAACUCGAGGCUCAACCUCGAGAUGUCGAUGGAAACCGUCUGGCUAGAGUCCGGAAGAGGAGUGUGGAAUUCCUGGUGUAGCGGUGAAAUGCGCAGAUAUCAGGAAGAACACCUAUGGCGAAGGCAGCACUCUGGGACGGUACUGAGCUGAGACGCGAAAGCGUGGGGAGCGAACAGG